rnacentral:rRNA from 1 species
GCUGGCAGCUAGCUCUCUGCAACUCUCACAUGGUCGCCCACUGAAGUUGAGCAGAGCUGCACCCGGUCAGUACCUGGUUGGGAGACCACAUGGGAAAGCUAGGUUGCUGCCGGAA